GGUGAAGAGUUGGCAGUGUGACCCUUGAAAAGGAUUCAAGUUAGCCCGGGGUACCCUGUAUUUUCCACUCCCAAACAGGGAUUAAUUUUGGAAUCUUCCAUAAAUGUAUGGAAACUGGGGGCUUUCCAACUCUAGCCUGGGUAAGAGCUACUUCAAGACAAACCAUAACAAGAUGGCCUUGUAUUGUAAAAGAGAGAGAGCAAGGCAAGAAGUAGAUACACUUGGGGAUGUAUUUUUAGGUAGGGAAAAUUUUGCAAGAGGCUGUGUUUAUAGAUCAUAAAAUUAGAGAUAAUGGAAUUUUUCUCAGGAUGCUAAAAGCAAUAUGCAGUGAAGAUUUACUGAAAGAUAAGCUGCUGAUCACUAUUUCUACAGAAAGCCAGCUCAAGCCUGUGUCCCUGUCAUCUCCCAGGUUAGGAGGGAGUUGUGGGUUCUCCGAUGGGCACUCGACCUCAACAGAAGCAGAACAGCAAAUCAUUCCCAGGCAGCUUCUAGCAGAGAUCUGGUAAACAGCAGCAUCACUUCUGGAACAGCUAAGAUGAAGAGAGAACACAGAGUAAGUUGACAACUUAUGUAGAGAUGUGCUGGUGCCUCGCAUUAUGUUAAGAGCUGAGAAGGAGCCAAGAAGAUGCAUGAAAUAUCAUGCAACCCUAACCCUAACCCUGAAGUUCUCAGACAGACUUGCAGAUACAGAAACUGGGACAGAUGGAGUUGAGUAGCCUAACCUAGUAAAAAACUAAGACCUGAGCCUAGGAAAUCUGAUCCAGAGCUGACCCUGGUAUAAUGUUUGGAAAGCAACUCCGAGACUGUGAAGAUAAGAACUUCCUAUUCUUCUGAGGCCCUAGGGAAGAGAAAGCUAAAAGAGGUCAGGGAAGGGACAGAGCAAAGCCACGGAGACCCAAGUUGCCUGAGUAGCUGUCCCUGGAGCUGGAAGCAGAAGGACUUCAUGCAAGGACACAUCCUUCUCCCGCAGCUGCUCGCCUGACCUUUACAGUCAAGUGACCGACUAAACCACCCAAAAUGAACUUCCCUGAAAACCAUCAAAGAGGUUACUGAUCAUGUUUCAUUUCUACCUACUCCCAUCAGCCUUGUGCCUCCAUUUAAUCAAUGUACAUUAGAUUGCUUCUGAGGAAACACUUAAUUGCUCCUUUUAUGUGUGCAUGACUUUUUUUAAAGAAAGUACAAGUAAGGUGUGCAUAAGCCUGUCUAGGGGAAUUCAUUCUGGCCUCCUGGACUCCAGUUGUUUAUUCUGACUGAUCAGAGCUGGUUGAUUCCCCCGAGUUUCCUAAUAGCUGACAGGUUUUUUCCUUUUGUCUGAACCACCAACCAGAAACGAGACUUCUAUAGGGAAGUGGUAUCUUGUACCUUGUGGGUGGUUCUCUUUUCUCCCUACACUUGCUGGAAACCUCACCUGUUUCCCCUUGUUUUUUAGUACUUUAGGUUUUUUUGUGGUGUUUCAGAAUUGAGCCGAGGGCCUCACGCACACUCAGCCACCCUCUGCCACUGUGUGGCAGCCUCAGCUUUCUCCCUGUUGUUUUUUGAGCUUCCUUGCAAGUUACAUAUUGAGAGCCACCACCUGAACAUUUCAGAAUGAUCUGGUUAAUGUGUGCAGGGAGAGGCAGCCAGAGUUAAGAUUUUCUAAACACACAUGGGUUCUCGAUAAAGAUCCACAAUCAACUUGUGUCUCUCCAUCAGUUUGAACAGCAUCGAUAAGCAUGGAGAAAGUUGUCUCUGGGCUGGCGAGGCUGUGUGCAUGUUGGGCACUCCAGUCUGCAGACUCAAGGCGGGCUUUCAUUUGAAUCCCACCAAUGAAAGCAGCCCUUGUCAAUGCUGGCUCUUUUCUCUGACCCAAGAAAAUUAGGGAGAGGGAGUUUUCUUUCUGCCCUCAGGAAAUGGUGCCUUCACUUUUCAAGGCAAAGACAUAAAGAAAGAAAGGAGAAUCACCCAUAACAAAGUACUCAUUGCCUAUUCAAUCACUAUGUUUUUAUUUUCUUUGAAUGAUCAAUCCUUUUUGCCUGUGGGGGUACCUGAUCCACUCUGAAAGAUGUGUUCUCCAAGCCAGAGGAAAUUCAACUUCUUGGCUUUUCCUCCACUGGUUGACGUUUGUCUUAGUUUUAACCUUUCUACCAUUUACUAGCAUGCCUGAGGAAGGCAACCAGCAGCAGACAAAUUUAGCCAAUCUGGGGAUAUCAGUUAAAGAGUAACAGAAGAAUCCAACUCAUUUUGAGGGAAGGUAUUCAUGCCAUUCCUGUGUGCCACAAGAAGUAAAAAAUAGCUUAUCUGAAAAGUUAACCAGCAUAAGAGCUGCCUACCUGAGAACCACAGCACAAAAUGAGGGAAAUCACUAAACAGUGUCCAGGAAGUCACUCAAAAAAACAAAAAUCAUAGAGAAUUUAAUUGCUUAGUGAUUACUCAGAAUAAACUUCCAAGGUAAUUUUCCUACAUGAUGUUUUCACUAUGUCUUUCUGAGCUAAAUAUCCUGGUCAGCCGGAGGUGUUACAGGAUGAGAAGCUAGUCUAGGGAUAAUUACCGGAA